CGCUGCGAGGCGACAAUCAGGGUAAAGCGCCAAGCCCCGAUUUGAUAUCGGGGCUUUUUGUUAUGUGUGUUUUACGCUGACCUGAUCUGACAUGGGCUUUAUGCCCUUUUUUU
rfam:Aeromonas schubertii strain ATCC 43700 Scaffold7, whole genome shotgun sequence.